rnacentral:rRNA from 1 species
CGCGCAGGCGGGCCGGCAAGUUGGAAGUGAAAUCUAUGGGCUUAACCCAUAAAACUGCUUUCAAAACUGUUGGUCUUGAGUGAUGGAGAGGCAGGCGGAAUUCCGUGUGUAGCGGUGAAAUGCGUAGAUAUACGGAGGAACACCAGUGGCGAAGGCGGCCUGCUGGACAUUAACUGACGCUGAGGCGCGAAAGCGUGGGAGCAAAC